GCCGCAGUCGUCUAGGGGUAAGGACACCAGUUUGUGGCCCACCACAUCCAAUCUCACUGGAAACCGAGGUUCGAGUCCUCGCUGCGGCA
rnacentral:tRNA from 1 species